GACGAACGCUGGCGGCGUGCUUAACACAUGCAAGUCGAACGGAAAGGCCCAGCUUGCUGGGUGCUCGAGUGGCGAACGGGUGAGUAACACGUGGGUGAUCUGCCCCUAACUUCGGGAUAAGCUUGGGAAACUGGGUCUAAUACCGGAUAGGACGAUCGUUUAGUGUCGGUUGUGGAAAGUUUUUUCGGUUAGGGAUGAGCCCGCGGCCUAUCAGCUUGUUGGUGGGGUAAUGGCCUACCAAGGCGUCGACGGGUAGCCGGCCUGAGAGGGUGGACGGCCACAUUGGGACUGAGAUACGGCCCAGACUCCUACGGGAGGCAGCAGUGGGGAAUAUUGCACAAUGGGCGCAAGCCUGAUGCAGCGACGCCGCGUGGGGGAUGACGGCCUUCGGGUUGUAAACCUCUUUCGACAGGGACGAAGCGUUGGUGACGGUACCUGUAUAAGAAGCACCGGCUAACUACGUG
rnacentral:rRNA from 1 species